AUGCUCACUUCAGCAGCACAUAUACUAAAACUAGAAUGAUACAGAGAACAUUAGCAUGACCCCUGCACAAGGAUGACAGACAACAUCCUAAAAAAAUUCAUAGAAAA